rnacentral:rRNA from 1 species
UACGGAGGGGGCUAGCGUUGUUCGGAAUUACUGGGCGUAAAGCGCACGUAGGCGGCUUUGCAAGUCAGAGGUGAAAGCCCGGGGCUCAACCCCGGAAUAGCCUUUGAGACUGCAUCGCUAGAAUUGUGGAGAGGUAAGUGGAAUUCCGAGUGUAGAGGUGAAAUUCGUAGAUAUUCGGAAGAACACCAGUGGCGAAGGCGGCUCACUGGACCGGCAUUGACGCUGAGGUGCGAAAGCGUGGGGAGCAAACAGG